CUGAAGGUUGACCGGAAAUGGAAGAAUCGACGCAUGCCCGAACCCACCUCAAGAAACAAUGAGGUUUCGCUAAAGGGUCGGCCAGAGUUAGAUUUCUUCAGCUUCUCUCUAGAAGCUUCACCAAGAACAACUGCCCUGCCGAAAGUGUGCCAGAUCGAGAGGGAAAAAUGAUAUGCUCUGUCCAAGUUGUUCUUUUACGGCUAUAAACUCGUUCAGAUCUCACAGAAUAUGCCUGAAUUCUGCGUGAGUAUAUAGAUUGGUUGUGUAUGUGUAUGUGAUAUUGAUGGAGAGAGUGAGAGAGAGAGAGAGAGAGAGA